rnacentral:rRNA from 1 species
GACGAACGUUGGCGGCGUGCUUAACACAUGCAAGUCGAACGGAAAGGCCCUGCUUUUGUGGGGUGCUCGAGUGGCGAACGGGUGAGUAACACGUGAGCAACCUGCCCUUGACUUUGGGAUAACUUCAGGAAACUGGGGCUAAUACCGGAUAGGAGCUCCUGCUGCAUGGUGGGGGUUGGAAAGUUUCGGCGGUUGGGGAUGGACUCGCGGCUUAUCAGUUUGUUGGUGGGGUAGUGGCUUACCAAGGCCUUGACGGGUAGCCGGCCUGAGAGGGUGACCGGCCACAUUGGGACUGAGAUACGGCCCAGACUCCUACGGGAGGCAGCAGUGGGGAAUAUUGCACAAUGGGCGGAAGCCUGAUGCAGCAACGCCGCGUGCGGGAUGACGGCCUUCGGGUUGUAAACCGCUUUCGCCUGUGACGAAGCGUGAGUGACGGUAAUGGGUAAAGAAGCACCGGCUAACUACGUGCCAGCAGCCGCGGUGAUACGUAGGGUGCGAGCGUUGUCCGGAUUUAUUGGGCGUAAAGGGCUCGUAGGUGGUUGAUCGCGUCGGAAGUGUAAUCUUGGGGCUUAACCCUGAGCGUGCUUUCGAUACGGGUUGACUUGAGGAAGGUAGGGGAGAAUGGAAUUCCUGGUGGAGCGGUGGAAUGCGCAGAUAUCAGGAGGAACACCAGUGGCGAAGGCGGUUCUCUGGGCCUUUCCUGACGCUGAGGAGCGAAAGCGUGGGGAGCGAACAGGCUUAGAUACCCUGGUAGUCCACGCUGUAAACGGUGGGUACUAGGUGUGGGGUCCAUUCCACGGGUUCCGUGCCGUAGCUAACGCUUUAAGUACCCCGCCUGGGGAGUACGGCCGCAAGGCUAAAACUCAAAGGAAUUGACGGGGCCCCGCACAAGCGGCGGAGCAUGCGGAUUAAUUCGAUGCAACGCGUAGAACCUUACCUGGGUUUGACAUGGAUCGGGAGUGCUCAGAGAUGGGUGUGCCUCUUUUGGGGUCGGUUCACAGGUGGUGCAUGCCUGUCGUCAGCUCGUGUCGUGAGAUGUUGGGUUAAGUCCCGCAACGAGCGCAACCCUUGUUCACUGUUGCCAGCACGUUAUGGUGGGGACUCAGUGGAGACCGCCGGGGUCAACUCGGAGGAAGGUGGGGAUGACGUCAAGUCAUCAUGCCCCUUAUGUCCAGGGCUUCACGCAUGCUACAAUGGCUGGUACAGAGAGUGGCGAGCCUGUGAGGGUGAGCGAAUCUCGGAAAGCCGGUCUCAGUUCGGAUUGGGGUCUGCAACCCGACCUCAUGAAGUCGGAGUCGCUAGUAAUCGCAAAUCAGCAACGCUGCGGUGAAUACGUUCCCGGG